AAAUUGAAGAGUUUGAUCAUGGCUCAGAUUGAACGCUGGCGGCAGGCCUAACACAUGCAAGUCGAACGGUAACAGGAAGCAGCUUGCUGCUUCGCUGACGAGUGGCAGACGGGUGAGUAAUGUCUGGGAAACUGCCUGAUGGAGGGGGAUAACUACUGGAAACGGUGGCUAAUACCGCAUAACGUCGCAAGACCA
rnacentral:rRNA from 1 species